UAUUCAAUUUGUAGACGGGUGG
rnacentral:piRNA from 1 species